CCUACGGGUGGCAGCAGUGAGGAAUAUUGGUCAAUGGGCGCUAGCCUGAACCAGCCAAGUAGCGUGAAGGAUGACUGCCCUAUGGGUUAUAAACUUCUUUUAUAUGGGAAUAAAGUGCAGUAUGUAUACUGCUUUGUAUGUACCUUAUGAAUAAAGAUCGGCUAACUCAGUGCCAGCAGCCGCGGUAAUACGGAGGAUCCGAGCGUUAUCCGGAUUUAUUGGGUUUAAAGGGAGCGUAGGCGGUUUGUUAAGUCAGUUGUGAAAGUUUGCGGAUCAACCGUAAAAUUGCAGUUGAUACUGGCAACCUUGAGUGUAGGAGAGGUAGGCGGAAUUCGUGGUGUAGCAGUGAAAUGCUUAGAUAUCACGAAGAACUCCGAUUGCGAAGGCAGCUUGCUGGACUGUAACUGACGCUGAGGCUCGAAAGUGUGGGUAUCAAACAGGAUUAGAUACCCCAGUAGUC
rnacentral:rRNA from 1 species